GCAGGUGAACUCUCAACCACUGCGCCACCAGGGAAGCCCUCCUCUGGGCUUCUUGAUCUUCUCAGCAAACAGAAUUCUUGCCCUCUAGGUUGACAGGGCGAGGACUGAUAGCAGAAAGGGGGAAUUGUUUGGACUUGUCCAUGUGAUUCCAGGGAAAGGAGCAGAAUGGGGGUGACAUGGCCUCACACGCUCCCCUUGGAGUCCCAUGGCAUAGACAGCCUCGCACCCAAGGCAUCUGUCUCAAAUCCUGCCAGGUUCCCACCCUCUGAGGUCCCCAGCUCUGGUCUCCCCGUCUCAUGGACGGCCACUCCUCCUCUCUACCUGCGGCCACCACCUGCAUUCCACCAUCACCUUUGACCUCCCAAGUAGGUUUCAGUGCUGUGUUACCUCACUCCCAAACUUCAGGAGUACAGAUAAACCUAUGGCAACACGGUGAGCAGGCACUUUAUUGAUUUAAAGAAAUUAACUCUUUAGCUGCGAAAUUCAGUUCUCACACAUGCAAAUGUGCCUCUACACAUAAGGCAGCCUCCCAUUAUAUGAUAGUUUUCUGCCAAGGAACUCAAGACACCUGGAACCCCUUCUGUCCUCAUGAUGCCUCACCGAAGGCAGAGGUGGUUUUUCCUGUCCAACAGAUUCGAAAGUUCAGGUUCAGCAUAGCUGAGCGGCUUGCCCCCCUCAGCCAGUCAUUGCCAGUGAUUCCCAGCUGCACAGCCAGAGACAGAGCAUGCUGCCAGUCCAGACCAUCUCAUGGCUUGCCCCCCCUUCCUUUGCAAGAAAAGAACAAAGAAUCCAGGUGGUGGGGUGAGACAUGGUGCAUUUAAAUGGUGAGAUUAGACAGUAGGUCAGCAAGUGACUGACAGGAACCCGUCUCCUGCAGUAAGUGUCCUGCCGCUGGUGACAGAGAAGAGCUGGAGUUUAACACCUUGUUGGGGGCAGGGGGGUCCUCCCCGUUCCGGUUUCAAGCUGAACCGUGGAAGGCACUGGAGUUGGUUGUUCCCUCCGCAGCUGGCGAGGUGCCGCACCACCACCCUUCCAAUGUGGGGGGAGGGGAAGGAGCAUCCUAGUUUUCCGAGAAGAGGAACAAGACUAACUUGGGCCUAACAGGGCUUGGAGAAAAGACUCAAGGCUCCUGAAGGACGCUGCCAUCAGGCCCCACCAGAAGAGGGGUGGGAUGAGGGGUGAGGAUUUAGCCCCUAACGAGCUCUCCUGGACCCUGGAGCUCCCGCCGGACACGGCCAGCAGAGGAGGCCCAGGGCCAGGAAGCCUACACCAGGCGUAGGAGAAGCUCUGUGGAUGGGCUGGCGACCUCUUUAGCCAGAGGCCCAGGAGACCCUGAAGGGGAAAGGCCAGGACCACCAUCGCACUUCCUGGGAAGGGACAGAGCCCUCCUCAGCCUCCUAGUGGCUGUUCCUUCACCCACAGAGACAGCCUGGCAGCUGAGGGCCCAAAACCCUGGGGCCCGGCCUGAGUCUGUGAGAAAUAAGCUCUCUCAUCCUAUCCAAAAGCCCUUCAGAGAGUUGAGGCCACGUCAGGAGAGGUGAGCCCCAGGAAUCGGCUCUGCAGGGGAGAACCCCCCCAACAGUGACAUGUAGCCCAGCAGUGGGACCUGGAAUGUCCCAGAAACAUUAAAGCUUGGGGUGGGGGGUGGGGUGAGAGCGACUCAGGAGCAGAGCUGAAGUCAGGAGGAAGGAGCCACUGAAAGAGGCUCCUUUCAUGCGGAGCCCAAGGCUAUAAAUAACCAGGCAGCUGCUCCACAGCUGGUGCAGGGCCCGUCUGGGCAGGGGGAGGUGACUCAGGGUGGUAAGACAGCAGCCCCCCUGCACUUGAGCUGCGGGGCUGUGGCCUGGACGGCGGAGAUGCAGCAAGCCCCCCUCCUGACACCUGGAGCUGGCAGCCGGACAAGACGGAACAAAGCGACACAGGGCCUGCUGCGCGACCCUUCUUUCCAAGGACACUCCCUGCUACCCUGGCCCUGCUGUUUGCACGUCAGCAUUGGCGCUUAUUUUUUACAAAGCCUUUUUUUCUUUUUAUUGAGAUGUAACAUCAGUGACGCACAAAUAACUUGGUGAGUUUUUAUGUAUUUCUAUACCUACCUGCCUAUCACCCGGAUCAAGGUAGAGGACAUUUUGAGCAGCUCAGUGGACAAUCUUGUGCUGUGUCAUCAAAGCCCCAACCAUCCAAGGCGAACCCCUGUUUUGAUCUCUACCAUUGUAGAUUGCGUCUUCCUUUCAACUUCAUGGCUGAUUCAUCUCACUGGAAUCCCACAGGAAGCACUGCUUUGCAUCUGGUUUCUUUCAGGCACUGACAUGCCUGUGAGAUUCCUCCACCUCUUGGGUAGCAAAACUUUGUCCUUUUUCACUGCUUUGUAUUAUUCCAUCGUAUGAGGAAACCAUGAUUUAUUUCUUCAUCCUCUUGCUAAGGGUCACUGGGCUGUUUCCAGUUUGGAGCUGUGAUGAAUAACACUGCAUUGGGCAUUCUUUCAGUGUUAGCAUAUGUCAGAGCAUGUUUGGAAAUAAAUUCUGCUGAGGA